CCCAGUAGUGGGGGACAACAUUCGGAAACGGAUGCUAAUACCGCAUACGCACUACGGUGGAAAGUGGGGGAUCUUCGGACCUCACGCUAUUGGAUGAGCCCAAGUCGGAUUAGCUUGUUGGUGAGGUAAUGGCUCACCAAGGCGACGAUCCGUAGCUGGUCUGAGAGGACGAUCAGCCACACUGGGACUGAGACACGGCCCAGACUCCUACGGGAGGCAGCAGUGGGGAAUAUUGGACAAUGGGCGCAAGUGAUCCAGCAAUGCCGCGUGUGUGAAGAAGGCCUGCGGGUUGUAAAGCACUUUCAGUAGAGAAGAAAAGCCUAGGGUUAAUACCCCUGAGUCUUGACGUAACCUACAGAAGAAGCACCGGCUAACUCCGUGCCAGCAGCCGCGGUAAUACGGAGGGUGCGAGCGUUAAUCGGAAUUACUGGGCGUAAAGCGCGCGUAGGGGUUUUGUAAGUCGGAUGUGAAAUCCCCGGGCUUAACCUGGGAACUGCAUUCGAUACUGCGAAACUAGAGUAUGGUAGAGGGAAGUGGAAUUUCCGGUGUAGCGGUGAAAUGCGUAGAUAUCGGAAGGAACACCAGUGGCGAAGGGACUUCCUGGGCCAAUACUGACGCUGAGGUGCGAAAGGUGGGGAGCAAACAGGAUUAGAUACCCUGGUAGUCCACACCGUAAACGAUGAAUGCCAGACGUCGGGCAGUAUACUGUUCGGUGUCACACCUAACGGAUUAAGCAUUCCGCCUGGGGAGUA
rnacentral:rRNA from 1 species